rnacentral:rRNA from 1 species
AUUGAACGCUGGCGGCGUGCCUAACACAUGCAAAUCGAGCGGUAACAGGUGUAGCAAUACAUGCUGACGAGCGGCGGACGGGUGAGUAACGCUUGGGAAUCUGCCUAUUAGUGGGGGACAACCCGGGGAAACUCGGGCUAAUACCGCAUACGCUCUACGGAGGAAAGCCGGGACCGCAAGGCCUGGCGUUAAUAGAUGAGCCCAAGUCGGAUUAGCUAGUUGGUAGGUAAUGGCCUACCAAGGCGACGAUCCGUAACUGGUCUGAGAGGACGACCAGUCACACCGGAACUGAGACACGGUCCGGACUCCUACGGGAGGCAGCAGGUGGGGAAUAUUGGACAAUGGGCGGAAAGCCUGAUCCAGCGACGCCGCGUGGGUG